GCCUGGCUGGCUCAGUCGGUAGAGCAUGAGACUCUUGAUCUCAGGGUUGUGUGUUUGAUCCCCAAGUUGGGCA